rnacentral:rRNA from 1 species
CUACGGGGGGCUCCAGUGGGGAAUAUUGGACAAUGGGGGAAACCCUGAUCCAGCAAUGCCGCGUGUGUGAAGAAGGCCUGCGGGUUGUAAAGCACUUUCGGUUGGGAGGACUGCUUCUAGCACUAAUAUUGUUGGAAGUUGACGUUACCUUCAGAAGAAGCACCGGCUAGCUCCGUGCCAGCAGCCGCGGUAAUACGGAGGGUGCAAACGUUAAUCGGAAUUACUGGGCGUAAAGCGCGCGUAGGCGGCUAGAUCAGUCGGGUGUGAAAGCCCCGGGCUUAACCUGGGAACUGCAUCCGAUACUGUCUAGCUUGAGUACAGGAGAGGAGAGUGGAAUUCCACAUGUAGCGGUGAAAUGCGUAGAUAUGUGGAGGAACACCAAUGGCGAAGGCAGCUCUCUGGCCUGAUACUGACGCUGGGGUGCGAAAGCGUGGGGAGCAAACAGGAUUAGAUACCCUCGUAGUC